rnacentral:rRNA from 1 species
GAUGAACGCUGGCGGCGUGCCUAAUACAUGCAAGUCGAGCGAACGGACGAGAAGCUUGCUUCUCUGAUGUUAGCGGCGGACGGGUGAGUAACACGUGGAUAACCUACCUAUAAGACUGGGAUAACUUCGGGAAACCGGAGCUAAUACCGGAUAAUAUUUUGAACCGCAUGGUUCAAAAGUGAAAGACGGUCUUGCUGUCACUUAUAGCUGGAUCCGCGCUGCAUUAGCUAGUUGGUAAGGUAACGGCUUACCAAGGCAACGAUGCAUAGCCGACCUGAGAGGGUGAUCGGCCACACUGGAACUGAGACACGGGCCAGACUCCUACAGGAGGCAGCAGUAGGGAAUCUUCCGCAAUGGGCGAAAGCCUGACGGAGCAAAGCCGCGUGAGUGAUGAAGGUCUUCGGAUCGUAAAACUCUGUUAUUAGGGAAGAACAUAUGUGUAAGUAACUGUGCACAUCUUGACGGUACCUAAUCAGAAAGCCACGGCUAACUACGUG